CCAGAGUACUAUGAAUACUUAAAAAUUUAAAACUCAAAGAACUUGGCGGUGUUUUAGACCACCCAGGGGAACCUGUCUCGUAAUCGAUAAUCCACGUUGCACCUGACCUCUUUUUGUUUUCAGUUUGUAUACCGUUGUCGUCAGGUAACUUUUUAGAAAUUGGAAGUUAGCAAUUAAAAUAUUGAUAAUUUAAUAUGUCAAAUCAAGGUGCAGCUAAUAAAGAGGGGAGGAUGGGUUACAAUUAUAUAAUUUAUAAUGACGGAUAGACAUAUGGAUAUGUGUUAAGUUGUAAGGAGGACUUGGAAGUAAAUUAAAGUAUAAAGAUAAUUUGAAUUAGGCUCUGAGACGUGU
rnacentral:rRNA from 1 species